rnacentral:rRNA from 1 species
UAACACAUGCAAGUCGAGGGGCAGCAUUUUACUAGCAAUAGUAAAGAUGGCGACCGGCGCACGGGUGAGUAACACGUAUCCAACCUGCCGAUAACUCGGGGAUAGCCUUUCGAAAGAAAGAUUAAUAUCCGAUAGUAUAUUUUCUCCGCAUGGCGAGAAUAUUAAAGAAUUUCGGUUAUCGAUGGGGAUGCGUUCCAUUAGGCAGUUGGUGAGGUAACGGCUCACCAAACCUUCGAUGGAUAGGGGUUCUGAGAGGAAGGUCCCCCACAUUGGAACUGAGACACGGUCCAAACUCCUACGGGAGGCAGCAGUGAGGAAUAUUGGUCAAUGGGCGCGAGCCUGAACCAGCCAAGUAGCGUGAGGGAUGAAGGCUCUAUGGGUCGUAAACCUCUUUUAUAUGGGAAUAAAGUUUUCCACGUGUGGAAUUUUGUAUGUACCAUAUGAAUAAGGAUCGGCUAACUCCGUGCCAGCAGCCGCGGUAAUACGGAGGAUCCGAGCGUUAUCCGGAUUUAUUGGGUUUAAAGGGAGCGUAGGUGGAUUGUUAAGUCAGUUGUGAAAGUUUGCGGCUCAACCGUAAAAUUGCAGUUGAAACUGGCAGUCUUGAGUACAGUAGAGGUGGGCGGAAUUCGUGGUGUAGCGGUGAAAUGCUUAGAUAUCACGAAGAACUCCGAUUGCGAAGGCAGCUCACUAGACUGUCACUGACACUGAUACUCGAAGGUGUGGGUAUCAAACAGG